rnacentral:rRNA from 1 species
UACAUGUGGGGCAAGCGUUGUUCGGAAUUACUGGGCAUAAAGGGUGCGUAGGUGGCCACCUAAGUCAGACGUGAAAUCCCUCAGCUUAACCGGGGAACUGCGUCUGAUACUGGAUGGCUUGAGUUCGGGAGAGGGAUGCGGAAUUCCAGGUGUAGCGGUGAAAUGCGCAGAUAUCAGGAGGAACACCGAUGGCGAAGGCAGGUCUCUGGGCAUUAACUGACGCUGAGGAGCGAAAGCAUGGGGAGCGAACAGG